rnacentral:rRNA from 1 species
UUCCUACGGGAGGCAGCAGUGAGGAAUAUUGGUCAAUGGGAGAGAUCCUGAACCAGCCAAGCCGCGUGAGGGAAGACGGCCCUAUGGGUUGUAAACCUCUUUUGUCGGAGAACAAAACCCGGGACGAGUCCCGGACUGCGUGUAUCCGAAGAAAAAGCAUCGGCUAACUCCGUGCCAGCAGCCGCGGUAAUACGGAGGAUGCGAGCGUUAUCCGGAAUGAUUGGGCGUAAAGGGUGCGUAGGCGGCCUGCUAAGUCUGGAGUGAAAGGUACCGGCUCAACCGGUACAGGCUCUGGAAACUGGCGG